GCCCAGGUGGCGGAAUUGGUAGACGCGCUAGGUUCAGGUCCUAGUAAAGGAAACUUUGUGGAAGUUCGAGUCUUCUCUUGGGCA
rnacentral:tRNA from 1 species